UUUUUAAGGUAGAUGAUGGAUGCCUUGGGGUAGGAAGCUGAUGAAGGACGUACCAGACUGCGAUAAGCCUCGAUGAGCUGUCAAGAAGCGUUAUUAGUCGGGGAUUUCCGAAUGGGGUAACCCUCGCCCCACAUUCAGGGUUUAAUCCUCCCGUUUACUCGUACCCGUAUACUAGUGGCGUGUACUAUUUUUACGUCAUAAAAAGUGAGAAGUUGAGCAAAGUUUAUUACGGUUUUACGACCGAUCUAAAACGACGAGUGCGGGAGCACAAUAAGGCCACAACCGGUUUUACCUCAUUGGGUAAACCGUGGAAGUUGGUUUAUUACGAAGCAUACCUAAGCAAGGAAGACGCUGCCGAACGAGAGCGCGCGAUCAAAUUGCGUAAGAAUUCUUACGCAUUGCUUAGAAAGCGUAUCAGAAAAAGUAUUGAACUUUGAAUGUGGGGCGAACGUUUGGGCCAAGUUCCCGCCUUUUGGCGGGAUAUUAACCUAAACGAAGGAACUCAGCGAAGUGAAACAUCUCAGUAACUGAAGGAAGAGAAAAAGAAGCGGACUUAUUCCCUAAGGACGGCGCGUCGCAAGACGCACCUAACCUUAGUGAAUUUGCUCCGCAAUAUUCCCUAAGUAGCGGCGAGCGAAAUGGGAACAGCCUAAACCCCGGCGCAAGUCGGGGGGUUGCAGGACCGGCAGUAGGAGAAUUUCUGGUAGGAGAAUGCCCUGGAAAGGGCGGCCAAAGAGGGUGACAGCCCCGUAACCGAAAUCGGAGAUUUUCUGGCAGGAUACCUAAGUACCACGGGAUAAGAGAAAGCCUGUGGGAAUCUAGCCAAACCACUGGCUAAGGCUAAAUACUUCCUACCACCGAUAGUGAACAAGUACCGUGAGGGAAAGGUGAAAAGAACCCCGGUAAGGGGAGUGAAAUAGAAACUGAAAUCAUCUACUAACAAGCAGACAGAGGUCGCCUUAGGCGACUAAUGUCGUGCCUAUUGAAGAAUGAGCCGAGGAGUUGUCGCAAACAGCGAGGUUAAGCCACUUCGUGGAAUAACCGCAGCGAAAGCGAGUCCUAAAUGGGCGAUUAGUUGUUUGUGGCAGACCCGAAACCUGGUGAGCUAACCAUGGGCAGGAUGAACUUCGACGAAAGUUGGAGGGAGGUCCGAACCGGUGUGCGUUGCAAUGCGCUCGGAUGACCUGUGGUUAGGGGCAACAUACCAAUCGAACCAGGUGAUAGCUGGCUCUCCCCGAAAUGUAUUUAGGUACAGCCUUGCAAUUAGAACAGAGGGGGUAGAGAUACUGGAAGGAAUGCCGAGCCCGCAAGGGCAUCGCUUCCUACCAAACUCCGAAUACCUUUGUUUAAUUUUGCAGGAGUGAGCAGGCGGGAGCAAGUUCCGUCGUGCUAAAGGGAAACAUCCCAGAUCAUCGGUUAAGGUCCCUAAGUUGGAUUUAAGUGGGAAAGGCAGUGGAAUUUCUUAGACAGCCAGAAGGUCGGCUUAGAAGCAGCCACCCUUGAAAGAGUGCGUAACAGCUCACUGGUUGAGAGAUUCUGCGCCGAAAAUGUAACGGGGCUCAAAAUCCACACCGAAACCGUGAAUCCGUAAGGAUGGUAGGGGAGCGUCCCGACGACCGUGAAGCGGAAGCGGAAGCAACCGUGGAGUUCGUCGGGAGUGAGAAUCUCGGCAUGAGUAGCGUUUGGCGGUGAGAAUCCGCCUCGCCGGAUGUUCAAGGUUUCCUCCGCUCUGGUCGUCAUCGGAGGGUUAGUCGGUCCUAAGCUGAGGUCGAAAGACGUAGGCGAUGGGCAGGGCGUUAAUAUUCGUCCACUUUUGCGCAGUUUGAUGGGGUAACGUUUUCCAAAGUUGCGAGCGCUUGCAUGGUUGAGCGUCAGGCGCACCAAGGUGUUUUGCCGGAAAAUCCGCAAGAUAUUAGCCAAGGUGCGACGGAGAGUCCCGCAAGGGGCAAUUCGUGAGGCUGGGGAACCAAGAAAAACCUCUAAAGCGUGCUGCGUAGAAUCCGUACCGCAAACCGACACAGGUGAAUUAGGUGAGUAGCCUCAGGCGAUCGGGAAAACGUUCUUUGAGGAAUUCGGCAAGUUGGCCCCGUAAGUUUGCAAGAAGGGGUGGUCGCCGCAAGGCGACCCGCAGCAACAAGGCUCAAGCGACUGUUUAACAAAAACACAGGUCUCCGCUCAACCCGUAAGGGGAGGUAUGGGGGCUGAAGCCUGCCCAGUGUCCGUAGGUUAAGGAGCGGUCUGAGAUUAUUUCAAGGACCAAACCGAAGCCCGGAUGAACGGCAGCAGUAACUAUAACUGUUUUAAAGUAGCGAAGUUCCUUGUCGGGUAAGUUCCGACCCGCACGAAAGGCUUCACGACUUGAGCACUCUCUUAAAGAAUGACCCGGCGAAAUUGAAAUGGCCGUGAAGAUGCGGCCUACCCACAGCAGGACAAAAAGACCCCGUGGAGCUUUACUGUAGCUUGACAUUGGUUUGGAGAUCGAACUCGUGUAGUGUAGGAGGGAGCCGCAAGGCGACAAUGAAACACCUCUCGGUUUGUUCUUCAAAUCUUACCUAAGCUGUUACCCAGCUUGGGAACAGUGUCUGGCGGGCAGUUUAACUGGGGCGGUUGCCUCGCAAAGAGUAACCGAGGCGCCCCAAGGUCGGCUUAGUCCCGAUGGACAUGGGACUCUAAGUGCAAAGACAUAUGCCGGCUUGACUGCGAGACUAACAGGUCGAGCAGGUGCGAAAGCAGGGCUUAGUGACCUGAACACUUCGAGUGGCGGAGUGUUCAACAUCGGAUAAAAGCUACCCCGGGGAUAACAGGCUGAUCUCCUCCAAGAGUCCAUAUCGACGAGGAGGUUUGGCACCUCGAUGUCGGCUCGUCCUAUCCUGGGGCUGGAUAAGGUCCCAAGGGUUUGGCUGUUCGCCAAUUAAAAGGGCACGCGAGCUGGGUUCAGAACGUAAACUUCAUUGCGUUCUACAUCAGUAAUGGUGUAUAAAAAAGAAGAGAAGCCAGAGCGCUUCUGCUUUCUAUCACCCAACGAGGAAAAGUAUAGAAAGAAUCGACUAAAAUCGGUGGAAUCCCGCAUAUAUAUCGAACGAUAUACGGGACAAUACCGAGGGUAAGACAAGUAUGACAAAGCAAGAUUGUGCGUACAUCGCAGGAUUCCUUGAUGGAGACGGCUGUAUAUAAUGCUCCAGUUAGUAUACCGGCACGAUUACGUGCUAGGUUAUCAGAUAAGAGCGAGCAUUGUUUUCUAUCAAAAGCAGCAGCAUCAACCAUUUUUACGUUGGAUACAGAACCAAUUCGAUGGGGUUGGUUAUAUUCGAAAUAGAAAUGAUGGUAUGAGCGAGUACACGAUUGUUGGUAUCGCCGACGUCGGGAAAAUUUUGCGAAUGUUACUUCCAUAUCUGCGUUUGAAAAAACGCCAGGCGGAAGUCGUGUUAAACGCCAUUUCUCAAAUGCCUGGAUCCGGAAGAAAAAUGACGGAGGAAAAAUUGCUCACGCUAGCAAAAAAAGUAGAUAGCUUCUUGGAGUUGAAUUACUCUAAGAAGCGAGUAAAUACUUCUGAAAAGCUACGAGCAUUUCUAGCCGCAAGACAUACUUGAUCCCGUAGAGACUUGCUUCGCGAGAAGCAGAUCCCGUACCCUUUUUUGAAAAAGGGGCGUGGGAUAAUACGUCGACCCCCGUACCGAUUUAAAAAGGUGCUGGGUGAAGAUAUAGUCCAUACUUUGAGUAAUCAAAGACAAUUUUAUGCGUGAGACAGUUCGGACUCUAUCCGCUGUGGGCGUUAAGCUUCUGAGGGGAUUUCUCUCUAGUACGAGAGGACCGAGAGGAAUAAACCGCUGGUGUACCGGUUGUUCUACCAAGAGCAUAAGUAGUGCCGGGUAGCUAUGUUUAUACGGGAUAAGCGCUGAAAGCAUCUAAGCACGAAGCCCACCCCAAGAUGAGAAGCAGACCCCUUGUAGACUACAAGGUUGAUAGGUGUUAGGUACAAGACCCGCGAGGGUUUAAGCCAAGACAUACUAAUAGGUCGUUUGG
rnacentral:rRNA from 1 species